GCUGCUAUAGCUCAGUAGGUAGAGCGUCGCCUUGGUAAGGCGGAGGUCACGGGUUCGAAUCCCGUUAGUAGCU
rnacentral:tRNA from 2 species